rnacentral:lncRNA from 1 species
ACAUAGAUAGAGAUUCCAUAUAUAUGUACACUUUACUUUUUUUUAAGUCUAAUAAUAUAUAGUAUCUUCUAAUUUUAUUUGUACUAGCAGUGUCCGUAGUCAGGCAGUGCAAUGCAACAAAGCUGCUAAGUUCAUAGCAACAUCAGUUAAUUAGAUUAUGUUUGGCAUAGCUUAGCUUCGCUAGUGAAACUAUUUGUUUGGUUUCAACUUAAUUGGUAAAAACAGAGCUAUGUUCGUGAUUCCAUUUAGCAAAACAACUUUACAUAGUAGACAUCGGGGUUGAUUAAAAGCCACUGGAUUCUGCAAUGAGAAAAUUCCAAGCAUCGGUGGUUCCUCGGCGUGAUGACACGCGUCUUCAUAACUUUUACAGAAAGACCCUUUGUCUUUAAGGUAACUAACCCGCGGUCCAACAUGUCGUUUCUACACAGCAAUCAGGUUUGGAUAUUUUAUGUACGGGACCUUUUGUAACUUUUAUUUCAACACAAAGAAGAAAAUUUGGCAACCUCACCGUUUUGCAAACCACCCCCUGAAAGCAACAAGGAGAGCCCCUACAGCCAACCCUACCGCAGUUUUGUUUCUCGGUCUCUCUCCCCUCUCCCCAUCCUUACCGCCGCCGCCACCUCUCCCCUCCAUGCCCUCUCCUCCGCACGCCGCCUCCAUGGCUCUCCCCUCCCUGCCCUCUCCUCCCCGAGUUGCCUCCAAGCUGGCAUGAGCAUACCUCCUUUGCGUGACGACUUGACGAGCAGCGGUCCCCGUCCUUACCGCCGCCGCCACCUCUCCCCUCCAUGCCCUCUCCUCCGCACGCCGCCUCCAUGGCUCUCCCCUCCCUGCCCUCUCCUCCCCGAGUUGCCUCCAAGCCGGCAUGAGCAGACCUCCUUUGCGUGACGACUUGACGAGCAGCGGGGGAAAAUCGGAGAGGAGGAGGUGUCCACGGAUACCGCGUGCGGAGGACCGGAGGAUGCUUCCUUACUCCCGAAGAUCCCCAUGCUCUCCGGAUCUGAGCUCACAUCAAACAGAUCCAGCCUCGACGACCAUCGAUCUGGCUGGCCUGUAGAAGCCCGUGGUGUGCGCGCAGCAAGCUCCACGAAGCAA